rnacentral:rRNA from 1 species
UAAGACGUAGGGAGCGAGCGUUGUCCGGAUUCAUUGGGCGUAAAGCGCGCGUAGGCGGUUUGGCAAGUCGGAUGUGAAAUCCCGAGGCUCAACCUCGGGACUGCAUCCGAUACUGCCCGACUAGAGGUAGGUAGGGGAGAUCGGAAUUCCUGGUGUAGCGGUGAAAUGCGCAGAUAUCAGGAGGAACACCGGUGG